GUGGGGAAUAUUGGACAAUGGGCGCAAGCCUGAUCCAGCCAUGCCGCGUGAGUGAUGAAGGCCCUAGGGUUGUAAAGCUCUUUCACCGGAGAAGAUAAUGACGGUAUCCGGAGAAGAAGCCCCGGCUAACUUCGUGCCAGCAGCCGCGGUAAUACGAAGGGGGCUAGCGUUGUUCGGAAUUACUGGGCGUAAAGCGCACGUAGGCGGACAUUUAAGUCAGGGGUGAAAUCCCGGGGCUCAACCCCGGAACUGCCUUUGAUACUUGGUGUCUGGAGUAUGGAAGAGGUAAGUGGAAUUCCGAGUGUAGAGGUGAAAUUCGUAGAUAUUCGGAGGAACACCAGUGGCGAAGGCGGCUUACUGGUCCAUUACUGACGCUGAGGUGCGAAAGCGUGGGGAGCAAACAGGAUUAGAUACCCUUGUAGUCC
rnacentral:rRNA from 1 species